rnacentral:misc_RNA from 1 species
GGUCUUAUCCAUUGAUAUUUAUGUCUUGAUGCUGAACAGAAAUGAUAGUCGCUUUGCAAGGCAUUCUGAGUACAUCCUGUUAAGGUCCAAGUCAGACGAGUUCAAUUUGGGCUUCUAAUUACAGCAAGAUUAACCAAAGUGCAGCCUUGAGAUGAAAGCUCUGACAUAAAAUACCAUUUUCAUUGGUCAGGCAGCCAAAAAUAAUCAGCAUGUAGCUUUCAGCUUGAACAUGGAGAUCCAAAGGAUUCUUAGAAAUCAAAAUCAAAUAUAUUCGAUUAAAAACAGUUAACAAAGGAAGGCAUCAAUCAGUCAAAUGGAGCAUGUCUCUUACAUUAACCAGAUCCUUGUGAGUUAAUUUUCUGAGCAUCAGACCUCUCGAUUUAAAGUUUCUUUUCUUCCUCCCCUCGGUGCUUGUAUUUUAUGAUUUUAUCU